UCCUGUCUAGCCGGCUUGCUGACUAGAAUGAAUGCUCCUUGAGUGGGGUGAUCCACAGGGAGUAGCUCAAACCUCCAAAGGUCCAGGCCAGGGGCAGGACAUUGGCACAGCAAAGGAGGGAUGUGGCAGUGACAUCACAAAGGCCUUUUGCAGGACCUAAGACUUAUUGGUCCAAGGUGGUGGGGAGGUGGUGACCUCACAGAGAGAUGCUGACAUCAGCCAGGCAGGACAGGGGUGAGGGGCCAGGGAAACCUCAAAGACCCCUGUGGCUUUGCUUCAGCAAGUCUCCUUCUCCAGGUCUCUCUUUGAGGACUGAGAGAGUAUUUGGGUUCACGGACGUGAGCGCCAGGAGGAACCUCUUUUGAGUUUUCUCCUUCCCUUUUAGUGAUUUUACUAGAAAACAGCCGUCCCUGUUUAGAAGGUAAGAGCCUCCUCGAAGGAAGGGGUAUCAUGGGGGUGUCACAGUUCAGAUGCCAAUGCCCC